CUCUUACGUGGGGCAAACGAAGCGACAACUGAAAACAAGAAUCAACGAACACAAAAACAAUUAUAAAUUGGACCCAUCCAGACAUUCAGUCAUUACAGAACAUAUACUUAAUUUGAAUCAUAGUUUUAAUUGGAACAACCCGGAGAUUUUAGAUUUUGAAACGAAUUACUACAAGAGACUAAUAUCAGAGAUGAUACACAUCAAAGAACAAAAAAAUGGUAUUAAUUCUAAUAAAGACACUGAAUUGCUGGAUGGUUCUUAUUUUAACAUCCUAAACGAACUUAGUAACAACUCAUAGGGAGUUAAACAUUGGUCUAUUUACAUCAUUGUUGUCAACCGAUUCCGACACGGAACGAAAAUGCUCAGUCACACACAAGAUUCGACACGAUACAGUUCUUUCUGAAAACUUUACUAACUUGAAUUUGCUAUGGUCUCAUUUACACUUUCAUCGUAAUUAUUGACUCUUGAUUGUGACGGA